rnacentral:snoRNA from 1 species
AAGACUAUACUUUCAGGGAUCAUUUCUAUAAUUUGUUACUAGAGAAGUUUCUCUGAAUGUGUAGAGCACCGGAAAUCACGAGGAGGAGGUGCAGCAUUCUCUGCCGAGCGUGAAGCCACUUUUGGUUUUGCUUCGCUGCAGAUGCCAUUUGCCAUUGAUGAUCGUUCUCUCUCUUUUGGGGGGAGUAAGAGGGAGAAGAUGCAGUGAGUGGU